UCCUGAUAGCUCAGUUGGUAAAGAAUCUGCUUGCAAUGCAGGAGACCCUGGUUUGAUUCCUGGGUCAGGAA
rfam:TPA: Bos taurus chromosome 13, whole genome shotgun sequence.